UGGCGAACGGGUGAGUAACACGUGGGUGAUCUGCACUGCACUUCGGGAUAAGCUUGGGAAACUGGGUCUAAUACAGGAUAGGAGCCAUCUUUAGUGUGGUGGUUGGAAAGUUUUUUCGGUGUAGGAUGAGCUCGCGGCCUAUCAGCUUGUUGGUGGGGUAAUGGCCUACCAAGGCGGCGACGGGUAGCCGGCCUGAGGGGGUGUACGGCCACAUUGGGACUGAGAUACGGCCCAG
rnacentral:rRNA from 1 species